GCCCGGGUGGCGAAAUUGGUAGACGCAGGGGAUUCAAAAUCCCCCGGUAGAAAUACCGUAUCGGUUCGAGUCCGAUCCCGGGUACCA
rnacentral:tRNA from 4 species